UGCAUGGCUGUCGUCAGCUCGUGUCGUGAGAUGUUGGGUUAAGUCCCGCAACGAGCGCAACCCUUAUCCCCAGUUGCCAUCAGGUAAAGCUGGGAACUCUGGGGAGACUGCCGGUGAUAAACCGGAGGAAGCGGGGAUGACGUCAAGUCCUCAUGGCCCUUACAUCCCGGGCUACACACGUGCUACAAUGGGCGAUACAGAGGGAAGCAAGGCCGCAAGGUAGAGCUAAUCCCUAAAGUCGUCCUCAGUUCGGAUUGCAGGCUGCAACUCGCCUGCAUGAAGUCGGAAUCGCUAGUAAUCGCGGAUCAGCUACGCCGCGGUGAAUACGUUCCCGGGUCUU
rnacentral:rRNA from 1 species